CUUGACAGCGCCGACCAACAGCGGCCUCGCGGCCGGCCGGUCCUGGCCGUAGGUGGCGAGCAGCGCCUGCGCCUC
rnacentral:antisense_RNA from 1 species